GACGAACGCUGGCGGCGUGCUUAACACAUGCAAGUCGAACGGAAAGGCCCUGCUUUUGUGGGGUGCUCGAGUGGCGAACGGGUGAGUAACACGUGGGUAACCUGCCCUUGACUUUGGGAUAACUUCAGGAAACUGGGGCUAAUACCGGAUAGGAUCUCCUGCUGCAUGGUGGGGGUUGGAAAGUUUCGGCGGUUGGGGAUGGACUCGCGGCUUAUCAGCUUGUUGGUGGGGUAGUGGCUUACCAAGGCUUUGACGGGUAGCCGGCCGGAGAGGGUGACCGGCCACAUUGGGACUGAGAGACGGACCAGACUCCUACGGGAGGCAGCAGUGGGGAAUAUUGCACAAUGGGAGGAAGCCUGAUGCAGCAACGCCGCGUGCGGGAUGACGGCCUUCGGGUUGUAAACCGCUUUCGCCUGUGACGAAGCGUGAGUGACGGUAAUGGGUAAAGAAGCACCGGCUAACUACGUG
rnacentral:rRNA from 1 species